CAAGUGCUUAGUUGAAGAAGAAGAAGAAGAAGAAGAAGAAGAAUCAAGAAGCCUAGAGGGUUGAAGCAAGCAUGUUCUUGAAAGUUUAAGCUUGUUGGUGGAAGAUUCAUGAAGAAUGAAAAAGAUAAGGGAUAGCCCCAUGGGAUGGUGCCUUGCAAGUUGUUGUUCAUGUGCCAAAAGGAAAAGAGAGUGUUGCAAGCUUGAAGUUGGGAAGCUUAUGGUGGUUAUUUGUUAGUUUUAUGGCUUGUUGAAACCUAGGCAUGUCUUGUAAUUUAUUUGGUUGGUAAUGAUUUGUUAAAGUUUAAGACCAUGGGUGUACUUUAUUUUGGAUA